GCCGGUAUGGCGGAACUGGCAGACGCGCGCGACUCAAAAUCGCGAGGGAAACCGUGGGGGUUCAAGUCCCUCUACCGGCA
rnacentral:tRNA from 2 species